GAUGAACGCUGGCGGCGUGCUUAACACAUGCAAGUCGAACGAACUGCUUUAAAGGAAGUCUUCGGGUGGAAUUUAAAGUAGUUAGUGGCGGACGGGUGAGUAACGCGUGGGAAACCUGCCCUAUACAGGGGGAUAGCCUCGGGAAACCGGGAUUAAUACCCCAUAAAACUCUAGUAUCGCAUGAUACAUGAGUCAAAGAUUUAUCGGUAUAGGAUGGUCCCGCGUCUGAUUAGCUAGUUGGUGAGGUAACGGCUCACCAAGGCGACGAUCAGUAGCCGGCCUGAGAGGGUGAACGGCCACACUGGAACUGAGACACGGUCCAGACUCCUACGGGUGGCAG
rnacentral:rRNA from 1 species